AUGUAUUGCAAUUGAAAAAAAAAACCCAAAUUGUAGAAUAAAAUAAAAAUAAAUAAAAAUAUUCUUCACCUCACACGUACGUGCUCCCACCUUCAUCUCCACGCCGUCUCCUCCUCCGUUUCAGGUCACCGCCGCCUUCCUUCUCGCAGGAAGAGAAGGUGACAAAGGAUCUUAAUCACCUUCUUUGGAGUUGCCAGAUGCUUGUUCGUUUUGGGAUUGUUUUUUUCCCAUACUUUUGGAGUUUGUUUGGCUCAAUCUAAAAGGUUGCAAACCUAUAGUGGAUGAGGUGCUUUUGCAUCUAUUCCUUUGUGGGAAGGAUCAUUUACUUCAUCUGGGUGGAUUUUGUGCAGUUUUCUGGGGUCUUGGCUUGAGAGAAACAUAUAAAUUUUCAAAGAAGUGUUCUUGAGAGGAGGUUUGGUCCUUCAUUUGGUUCAAUUCCUCUCCUUGGGCCUCGGGUUGAAGAUAUUAUAGGAGAGUGAGCUGAUCUUUAUGCAGUUCAUCCACAAUGGACCGUCAAUAUUUUUUUAAUGUCACUUAAAACUCCGCAUAGGUUUGGUUAUUUAGCAUAUGAAACAAUGUUGCCUCAGAAACCAUUUCUUUGGAGAUUCAAUCCUCUCUCCACUCCCUUUGUGUUUCCCAUGCUUCCCGUCUCCAGUCGACAACCGAUAGAGUCUUUUGCCACUUUGGAAUUGAUCUCAUUGAGCUCAUCACAAGUUUCGCCAUCACAUUCUUUGGCUUUUCUUUUAGAAUCUGCAGACUAUGUUAAGCUAGUUCAAUCAGCUAUUAAAACUGGGAACUUGAACCAUGGCAAGCUUGUUCAUUCCCAUAUGAUUAAAACUUCUUUCAGGCCUUGUCUAUUUUUGCAGAAUAAUCUUCUUAACAUGUACUGCAAAUGUGGGGAUACACACUCUGCUGACAAAUUGUUUGAUAAAAUGUCAAAACCAAACAUUAUAACUUACAACUCUUUGAUUUCUGGAUAUAUCCAGAUAGGCACCCUUGACAAGGUCAUGAUUUUGUUUAAUAAAGCAAGAAGACUUGGUUUGAAACUCGAUAAGUACACUUGUGCAGGCGCUCUUACAGCAUGUAGUCAAAGUGGGAAUCUUUCUGCAGGUAAGAUGAUUCAUGGGUUAAUUUUAGUUCGUGGUUUAGGCUCCCAAGUUGUUUUGACCAAUUCCCUUAUUGAUAUGUAUUCAAAAUGCGGCCAGGUUGAUCAUGCAAGGAUUUUGUUUGACCAUUCUGAUAAGUUAGAUGGUGUUUCUUGGAAUUCGUUGAUUGCCGGUUAUGUACAAAGUGGAAAAUAUGAGGAGCUGUUGACAAUUCUGCAGAAAAUGCAUCAACAUGGAUUGGCGUUCAACACUUAUACUCUAGGAAGUGCCCUGAAGGCUUGUAGCUCAAACUUCAAUGGUUGUAAAAUGUUUGGGACAAUGUUACAUGACCUCACAAUCAAACUCGGUCUACAUCUGGAUGUUGUUGUUGGCACUGCAUUGCUUGAUAUGUAUGCAAAAACUGGAAGUUUGGAUGAUGCUAUUCGAAUCUUUGACCAAAUGGUGGACAAAAAUGUUGUGAUGUAUAAUGCAAUGAUGGCUGGCUUGCUCCAACAAGAGACAAUUGAAGAUAAAUUUGCGUACAAAGCCCUCAAUCUUUUCUUUGAGAUGAAAAGCUGUGGAAUAAAACCUUCCAUGUUUACAUAUUCAAGCUUAGUUAAAGCUUGUAUUACUGUUGAGGAUUUUGAAUUUGCAAAGCAAGUUCAUGCCUUAAUGUGCAAGAACGGCCUUCAAUCGGAUGAGUACAUUGGGAGUAUUUUUAUUGAUUUGUAUUCUCUGUUAGGUUCAAUGAAGGAUGCUUUAUCAUGCUUUAACUCAAUUCAUAAUUUGACUAUAGUCCCAAUGACUGCCAUGAUUGUUGGUUAUCUUCAAAAGGGAGAAUUUGGAAGUGCAUUGGGUUUGUUCUAUGAUCUUUUGACCUCCGAAGAGAAACCUGAUGAGUUUAUUUUGUCCACAAUCUUGAGUGCUAGUGCAAAUAUGGGCAUGUUAAGAUCUGGAGAACAAAUCCAGGGGUAUGCAACCAAGAUAGGCAUCUCGAGAUUCACCAUUUUUCAGAAUUCACAGAUUUGGAUGUAUGCGAAGUCUGGAGAUCUAUAUGCAGCCAAUCUAACCUUUCAACAGAUGGAAAAUCCUGAUAUUGUGUCCUGGUCAACAAUGAUCUGCAGCAAUGCACAGCAUGGGCAUGCAAUGGAGGCUUUGAGAUUUUUUGAGCUGAUGAAGAGUUGUGGAAUUGAGCCUAACCACUAUGCCUUUCUUGGAGUUCUAAUUGCGUGUAGUCACAGAGGGCUCGUUGAAGAAGGAUUAAGGUACUUUGAUUCCAUGGAGAAAGAUUACAAUAUGACAAUUCAUGUCAAGCACUGUGUUUGUGUUGUUGAUCUACUUGGUCGAGCUGGAAGGUUGGCCGAUGCAGAAAGUUUAAUUUUGCGCUUAGGUCUCGAGCACGAACCAGUGGUGUGGCGAGCUUUACUAAGUGCCUGCAGGAUCCACAAAGAUACAUUUACUGCACAACGUGUUGCACGGAAAGUAAUGGAGCUUGAACCUCUAGCAUCUGCAUCUUAUGUCCUUCUUUAUAACAUUUAUAUGGAUGCUGGAAACAAGUCAGGUGCCUCAAAAGUUAGAAAGUUAAUGGAAGAUCGGAUAAUUAAGAAAGAACCUGGUCUAAGCUGGAUACAAGUAGGAGAUAAAGUCUACUCGUUUGUUUCGGGUGAUCGAUCUCACAAAAAUAGUGAAUUGAUUUAUGGAAAGUUAAACGAAAUGUUAGCAAGGACAAAGAGAUUAGAUUCGGCAAAGGAUGCAUUAUAUUACAAAUUUGAGCAUGAAUACAUGACCAAUGUGAACUAUCACAGUGAAAAGCUGGCUGUGGCUUUUGGGGUUCUCCAUUUGUCAGAAUCAGCUCCAGUGAGAGUGAUGAAGAACCUGAGAAUUUGUUUGGACUGUCACAUGGCUAUGAAGCUCUUUUCAAUAGUUGAGAAAAGAGAGAUAAUUCUUAGAGAUUCAAUUCGUUUCCAUCAUUUCAAAGACGGGUCUUGCUCUUGUGGGGACUAUUGGUAGUUGAGAUGGAUUCAUAUUCGUCAUUUACGUUGAAAAUUGAAGUAUCGGCAAUCUGAAAAGGCUAAAUCCAAUUUUUUCUAGGCUAUCUCAUAUUUAAAAGGAUAGAGAACGAUCUGUAAGUAUGAAGAUACAGACCAUUUUUUUCUUCUUGCAAGUCUUCCAUCUUCAUAGAUAGCAAAUGCAAUCUGGAGGGAGGCUGUUUCUUCUGAGAUUGCCAAGGAACUUUAGAUUUAUCAAGCCUCAGAGAAUAAGUUCUUCUGGUCACUGAUAGUGAGCAGAGGAACUUCAUUAUGAUGUCAAGGAAGACUAUCCUCCUAUGUACCUUACCACGCUUUUAUCUCGGAAGUGAAUCAAUUUUGUGAUGCUAUGGAGGGCUGCUAAAGUGCGAAAGUGAACCUGGACUCGAAUAAAAAAGGAUUAUGCACGUUGGGGCCCUUCAGCGACUAUCGCACUGCGACACUUCGAGAACCAACUCUGGGCUCUGACAACCACUUUCGAUGACAACUCCGGUGACCAACUCCGGCUACCAAUUUCGGAUUUUGGUAACAACCUCCGAUGACAACUAUGGCGACCCAACUCCGACGACCAUCUUCGCAUGACUGACAACUACCUUCGACUAUAAACUCCGAUGAAAAUCAUUUUCGAUGACCAUCUUUGAGUAAGCAACUCCGAUGCCAACUUAGGACUCCGACAACUACCUUCGGCGACGAAACUCCGACAACCAAUUCCAAUACCACCUUCAUGCAACCAACUUCGAGCUCCAACAACCACCUUCGACGACAAACUUUGGUGAAAAUCAUCUUCAAUGAUCAACUUUGACAAUCACCACCGCGACCAACUCCGACGACCAACUUUGGGCUCCGAAAAUCACCUUUGACGACAAACUCCGGCUAUUAACUCUAAUACCACAUUCAUGUGACCGAUUUUAAGCUCCAAUAACCACCUCCAACUACAAUUUUCAGCUAAAAUCAUCUUUGAUAAUCAACUUCGAUAACCAUUUGACUGUUAUAAGAAUGAUGGCUGUUAAAAUUUGUUGUAGGAUGGUGAUUAUAUAAAUAAUAGUAUUUUGUCUACAUUAAUUGAAUUCACAUAUUAAUGAAUGUUAAUAAUAUUUGGAAAAGUAUGUAACACAUAAUUAAAAAAAAAAAAAACCAUAAAGUGGUGGAUUUUUUCCUAGAACAU